GAUUAUUUUGACGUGUUCAUUUUAUUUUUUCGAGCAUUUUGGUGCCCGACUUUUUUUUUUUUUUAGUCUAUUUAUUUUUAUAUUGGGUCUAGAAUAAAUAAAUAGGUUAAUUAGUUUUUAUUUUAAUUUUAACUAUUUUAAUUAUUUAACUUUAUUCAGUUUUUAAUUUAAUAUUGGGUUUCAAAAUAAACUUAGGUCCAUUA
rnacentral:lncRNA from 1 species